AGGGGUAACAUGACGCUUCGGUGUUGAUGACGACCGGCGCACGGGUGCGUAACGCGUAUGCAAUCUACCUACAGCAGAGGGAUAGCCCGUGGAAACAUGGAUUAAUACCGCAUACGCCCUACGGGGAAAGCAGGGGAUCUUCGGACCUUGUGCUAUUGGAUGAGCCUGCGUUGGAUUAGCUAGUUGGUAGGGUAAAGGCCUACCAAGGCGACGAUCCAUAGCUGGUCUGAGAGGAUGAUCAGCCACACUGGAACUGGAACACGGACCAGACUCCUACGGGAGGCAGCAGUGAGGAAUAUUGGGCAAUGGGCGAAAGCCUGACCCAGCCAUGCCGCGUGGGUGAAGAAGGCCCUAGGGUUGUAAACCCCUUUCAGCGGGGAAGAUAAUGACGGUACCCGCAGAAGAAGCCCCGGCUAACUCCGUGCCAGCAGCCGCGGUAAUACGGAGGGGGCUAGCGUUGUUCGGAAUUACUGGGCGUAAAGCGCGCGUAGGCGGACUUUCAAGUCAGGGGUGAAAUCCCGAGGCUCAACCUCGGAACUGCCUUUGAUACUGUAAGUCUUGAGUCCGAGAGAGGUGAGUGGAAUUCCUAGUGUAGAGGUGAAAUUCGUAGAUAUUAGGAAGAACACCAGUGGCGAAGGCGGCUCACUGGCUCGGUACUGACGCUCAUGCACGAAAGCGUGGGGAGCAAACAGGAUUAGAUACCCUGGUAGUCCACGCCCUAAACGAUGUCAACUAGUUGUCGGGAAUUAACUUUCUUGGUAACGCAGCUAACGCGUGAAGUUGACCGCCUGGGGAGUACGG
rnacentral:rRNA from 1 species